GACGAGGGAUCCUAGCGUUGUUCGGAAUCAUUGGGCGUAAAGCGUCUGUAGGUGGCUUUUUAAGUCCGCCGUCAAAUCCCAGGGCUCAACCCUGGACAGGCGGUGGAAACUACCAAGCUGGAGUACGGUAGGGGCAGAGGGAAUUUCCGGCGGAGCGGUGAAAUGCGUAGAGAUCGGAAAGACACCAACGGCGAAAGCACUCUGCUGGGCCGACACUGACACUGAGAGACGGAAAGCUAGGGGAGCGAAUGGG
rnacentral:rRNA from 1 species